UAUGGAGGCUAUUUAAAUGAGACGCCACGCCUGGUUCAAAUUGCGCGAAGAGAAUUGCAGGAUAGGACGCGUAUUCUCCGUUGAUCAGUGGCGAGUUUCUCAUUCAGUCAGAAGAAAUUGAUAAUUGUUACAGGUUUUAGAUAGACUUGUCUCGUGUCAAAAAACUUCCAAGUCAAAAUGAUGAACAAAAUAUUGGCUCUGUUUCUGGUGUUGGCUGUUGCUUCAAUAAUGAUACUCAACGUAGAGGGCGCAGGGUGGUUUCUAGGUCAAGACUGCUCUCCGGAAUGUGAGCGCAAUGAAAUAUGCAUUCAAGGAAGUUGUCUGCAACAGCAGAAGUUGGAUGAGGACUCAGCAUUAUGGAAAAGGGAUUAAUCUUAUCAAACAUUAUGAUCAAGAACAUACUUCUACAUAUUAAAAUGAGUAUAAACGUUGUAUCAUAAAUAAAUGUAACUCAUGAAA